rnacentral:rRNA from 1 species
UUUAAUUGAAGAGUUUGAUCAUGGCUCAGAUUGAACGCUGGCGGCAGGCCUAACACAUGCAAGUCGAGCGGCAGCGGGAGGAAGCUUGCUUCCUUG